rnacentral:rRNA from 1 species
CAGUACCGCGGUAAUACAGAGGGUGCGAGCGUUAAUCGGAUUUACUGGGCGUAAAGCGUGCGUAGGCGGCUUCUUAAGUCGGAUGUGAAAUCCCUGAGCUUAACUUAGGAAUUGCAUUCGAUACUGGGAAGCUAGAGUAUGGGAGAGGAUGGUAGAAUUCCAGGUGUAGCGGUGAAAUGCGUAGAGAUCUGGAGGAAUACCGAUGGCGAAGGCAGCCAUCUGGCCUAAUACUGACGCUGAGGUACGAAAGCAUGGGGAGCAAACAGGAUUAGAUACCCCUGUAGUCCCUGUCUCUUAUACA